UAGCUGUAGGUGAACCUGCUGCUGGAUCAUUACUUUAUGUGAUGUUCAAAUUUAAAUUCGCAAUGAAAUGAUCGUUGUGAAACGGCUGUCGCUGGUGUCUAAGUGUUGCUGAUACGGUUGUGAACGUCCGUGGCUGUAUAUGUGGUGACAUGUUAGGACUCUAAUGAGUUUAAGACCUAAUGAGCCUCUUAAGUGAGGCCGCCAGCAACCUUUUUUUUCUCUACAUUUUAAAAAAAAAACUAAAAUUCUACCCUUAUCGGUGGAUCACUAGGCUCGU
rnacentral:misc_RNA from 1 species